rnacentral:rRNA from 1 species
UUGCGUAGGUGGCAAAGUAAGUAAGUAAUGAAAUCGUACGGCUCAACCGUAUACACAUUAUUUAAACUGCUUAGCUUGAGAGCGGGAGAGGUCGCUAGAAUUCCUGGUGUAGGGGUGAAAUCCGUAGAUAUCAGGAGGAAUACCGAUGGCGUAGGCAGGCGACUGGCCCGUUUCUGACACUCAGGCACGAAAGCGUGGGGAGCGAUCG